rnacentral:sRNA from 1 species
UAAUGACUGGCUACACUCUGUGCAUUGA